GGGGCAGCAUUUUAGUUUGCUCGCAAACUGAAGAUGGCGACCGGCGCACGGGUGAGUAACACGUAUCCAACCUGCCGAUAACUCCGGGAUAGCCUUUCGAAAGAAAGAUUAAUACCGGAUGGCAUACGAAUAUCGCAUGAUAUUUUUAUUAAAGAAUUUCGGUUAUCGAUGGGGAUGCGUUCCAUUAGUUUGUUGGCGGGGUAACGGCCCACCAAGACUACGAUGGAUAGGGGUUCUGAGAGGAAGGUCCCCCACAUUGGAACUGAGACACGGUCCAAACUCCUACGGGAGGCAGCAGUGAGGAAUAUUGGUCAAUGGGCGAGAGCCUGAACCAGCCAAGUAGCGUGAAGGAUGAAGGCUCUAUGGGUCGUAAACUUCUUUUAUAUGGGAAUAAAGUUUUCCACGUGUGGAAUUUUGUAUGUACCAUAUGAAUAAGGAUCGGCUAACUCCGUGCCAGCAGCCGCGGUAAUACGGAGGAUCCGAGCGUUAUCCGGAUUUAUUGGGUUUAAAGGGAGCGUAGGUGGAUUGUUAAGUCAGUUGUGAAAGUUUGCGGCUCAACCGUAAAAUUGCAGUUGAAACUGGCAGUCUUGAGUACAGUAGAGGUGGGCGGAAUUCGUGGUGUAGCGGUGAAAUGCUUAGAUAUCACGAAGAACUCCGAUUGCGAAGGCAGCUCACUAGACU
rnacentral:rRNA from 1 species